GAUGAACGCUGGCGGCGUGCCUAAUACAUGCAAGUCGAGCGAACGGACGAGAAGCUUUCUUCUCUGAUGUUAGCGGCGGACGGGUGAGUAACACGUGGAUAACCUACCUAUAAGACUGGGAUAACUUCGGGAAACCGGAGCUAAUACUGGAUAAUAUUUUGAACCGCAUGAUUCAAAAGUGAAAGACGGUCUUGCUGUCACAUAUGGAUGGAUCCGCGCUGCAUUAGCUAGUUGGUAAGGUAACGGCUUACCAAGGCAACGAUGCAUAGCCGACCUGAGAGGGUGAUCGGCCACACUGGAAUUGAGACACGGUCCAGACUCCUACGGGAGGCAGCAGUAGGGAAUCUUCCGCAAUGGGCGAAAGCCUGACGGAGCAACGCCGCGUGAGUGAUGAAGGUCUUCGGAUCGUAAAACUCUGUUAUUAGGGAAGAACAUAUGUGUAAGUAACUGUGCACAUCUUGACGGUACCUAAUCAGAAAGCCACGGCUAACUACGUG
rnacentral:rRNA from 1 species